UAAUAAGUGUUUUAUGGCACUUUUUAAAUCCAUAUCCACCUUGUGUGCAAUGUCGGUCGAUCUUCUUCAUGGAGAUCGGCCAAACAUCAACCUUUAUCUUUUAACUCUUUGUCUGAAAAAUAUUAUGAAUAAACAAUUCAAAAUA
rnacentral:misc_RNA from 1 species